AGUCCCAGGCGUGACGCCGGGAACUCUGCGUCCGGGAAAUAAGCCCUUUAUUCGGGUCGACAAACCAACAUUCACCGGUCCGUAUCUCCGGUCCGGAAAGAUUAACAGAAACGAGCCAGGACUCGUUAAAUGGCGAGUCGAUACGACCCCUAAGUCGGGAGCUAGAGCUCCCGGUAGCCGGAAAGGUUGAAAAAUAGAAGCUCCGGUAGCUGGUGGCCCAGUGCCUGGAACACCAGGCUCCGGCAAGUCGCCUUCCGCCGAAUGUGUCUCCUGCUCCCGGGGUUGCGGCGAGUCAAUGCGGGUUAUUAUAACAUGGGUUUCGCCAAGAAAAAAAAUUCUCAAGAGUGGAUCAGUACCAACUGUUCGCGAUCAAGCUUCAUCUCCGGAAGAAAAUUUCUAUUUCAGCAAACCCAAGAGUACCCAGAGACUCCCGCUGACACAGGGAACAUGAAAACUCCACUUAGCUGAUGGACCAACACGUUUGAUCCAGUGCUGCCCCCUACAACCUACAAAACCUGAAGGAUCUACUGCUGGAUCCUAGUGAUGGAUACCCCAAGAAACCUUCAGGGGUCAUAUGUGAGUUUUCUUGUCACAGUGUUGUGUUUAUUGACUUUGUAAUCAUGAUAACCAGAAACGGUUGGUUGGGAGGGUGUGUGUUGCAGCAGGGGGUUCAUGGUGUAUUGGCGCAUGGGCCUCCCCGCUCAUAAUCCAUCCCCGUCUACCACCUAUACGCUUCAUGAGUAAAUGCUACUUUUAAAGAGUGCGAGCGGGAACAUUUCCAAAUCUUCUUUACACUAGUCAACUACACCGCAAAUUAAUUGAAAAAUGUUUGUGCAGCAUUGUGUUUGUAGAUGUAGAGUUUAGAUGGCACUCAGCCAGUGUGCCAAAGCCCUUUCUCCAAAAUGAUACACACAUGCAUAUUUCACUGUUAUUAUGUACGUUUGUAUGAAAGUUAGAUUAAAUGUCUUUAUUUUGUAAAUGACUUCAAGCUUAGUGAUGAUAUAAAUAAUAAAAUGUAUAAAAAGCAAA